AAAACUUUCAACAACGGAUCUCUUGGUUCUGGCAUCGAUGAAGAACGCAGCAAAAUGCGAUAAGUAAUGUGAAUUGCAGAAUUCAGUGAAUCAUCGAAUCUUUGAACGCACAUUGCGCCCGCCAGUAUUCUGGCGGGCAUGCCUGUUCGAGCGUCAUUUCAACCCUCAAGCACAGCUUGGUGUUGGGACUCGCGUUAAUUCGCGUUCCCCAAAUUGAUUGGCGGUCACGUCGAGCUUCCAUAGCGUAGUAGUAAAACCCUCGUUACUGGUAAUCGUCGCGGCCACGCCGUUAAACCCCAACUUCUGAAUGUUGACCUCGGAUCAGGUAGGAAUACCCGCUGAACUUAAGCAUAUCAAUAAGCGGAGGAAAAGAAACCAACAGGGAUUGCCCUAGUAACGGCGAGUGAAGCGGCAACAGCUCAAAUUUGAAAUCUGGCUCUCGGGCCCGAGUUGUAAUUUGUAGAGGAUACUUUUGAUGCGGUGCCUUCCGAGUUCCCUGGAACGGGACGCCAUAGAGGGUGAGAGCCCCGUCUGGUUGGAUGCCAAAUCUCUGUAAAGUUCCUUCAACGAGUCGAGUAGUUUGGGAAUGCUGCUCUAAAUGGGAGGUAUAUGUCUUCUAAAGCUAAAUACCGGCCAGAGACCGAUAGCGCACAAGUAGAGUGAUCGAAAGAUGAAAAGCACUUUGAAAAGAGAGUUAAAAAGUACGUGAAAUUGUUGAAAGGGAAGCGUUUAUGACCAGACUUGGGCUUGGUUAAUCAUCUGGGGUUCUCCCCAGUGCACUUUUCCAGUCCAGGCCAGCAUCAGUUUUCCCCGGGGGAUAAAGGCGGCGGGAAUGUGGCCCUCUUCGGGGAGUGUUAUAGCCCACCGUGUAAUACCCUGGGGGGGACUGAGGUUCGCGCAUCUGCAAGGAUGCUGGCGUAAUGGUCAUCAACGACCCGUCUUGAAACACGGACC
rnacentral:rRNA from 1 species